rnacentral:tRNA from 1 species
CGGGAUGUAGCGCAGAUGGUAGCGUUUCUGUUUUGGGAACAGAAGGUCGCAGGUUCAAAUCCUGUCAUUCCGA